UACGUAGGUGGCAAGCGUUGUCCGGAAUUAUUGGGCGUAAAGCGCGCGCAGGCGGUCCUUUAAGUCUGAUGUGAAAGCCCACGGCUCAACCGUGGAGGGUCAUUGGAAACUGGGGGACUUGAGUGCAGAAGAGGAAAGCGGAAUUCCACGUGUAGCGGUGAAAUGCGUAGAGAUGUGGAGGAACACCAGUGGCGAAGGCGCUUUCUGGUCCGUAACUGACGCUGAGGCGCGAAAGCGUGGGGAGCAAACAGG
rnacentral:rRNA from 1 species